GGAGGCUCGCUCAAACUAUCCGUAUACCAUCUUGGCAUAAUGGCUUGUAUAUUUUGAGUAUGUCAUGUAUAGCAUUAUAAUCAUUUUGUAUAUAUGGUCUUAUGAUAUGGUUAUUGAGUGGUAUGGAAAUGCUUGGUAAUGAUUAGCCAUUGGAAUGGCUAAUCAUGAUCAUAUUUGGUGUUAUGUAUGUCAAAUUGCUAGCUAAUCCAUGGAAACCAUGAAAUAGGUAAAAUUUACCAUAAAAUAGAUUCAGAC
rnacentral:lncRNA from 1 species